rnacentral:lncRNA from 1 species
CCUCAUUCGGGUGAUGACAAAGGCGGGAACAUGCAAGUUCUCUAAUGGACGGUAAACAGAAGAAAGCAGAGGUCUGAGAACUGAACGUCAGGGAGCAGUCAAGAUCCCAUCAGGCUGCCCAUGUAUUUCCUCUUAAUAUUUGACAAUGAAAAGGGUAAUUAGGACUCGCAGCAAAGCAGCCUUGCAAUGGAAUCACUUAAACUAGGCCGUGGGUUCUUUCCACAUGGAAAGGGCAUAUGGGGUGUAGAACCGUGAGAGUCACGCUGAG